UAAGGAGGGGGCAAGCGUUGUUCGGAAUUACUGGGCGUAAAGCGCGCGUAGGCGGACUGUUAAGUCGGGGGUGAAAUCCCAGGGCUCAACCCCGGAACUGCCUUCGAUACUGGCGGUCUAGAGGUCUGGAGAGGUGAGUGGAAUUCCGAGUGUAGAGGUGAAAUUCGUAGAUAUUCGGAGGAACACCAGUGGCGAAGGCGGCUCACUGGCCAGAUUCUGACGCUGAGGUGCGAAAGCGUGGGGAGCAAACAGG
rnacentral:rRNA from 1 species